ensembl:miRNA
UGACUCCUCCAUGUCUUGGAGUAGGUCAUUGGGUGGAUCCUCUAUUUCCCUAUGUGGGCCACUGGAUGGCUCCUCCAUGUCUUGGAGUAGAUCA